AAAAAAAACUUCAGAGAAAAAAUAGAAACCCUCAGCCGGCCUUUUCCUUUGGCUAAACGGGCCACCCAUGACCCCGCCACAUGCGGUGGUCGGAGGUUCUAAACGGUCGGUUUUUAACCCCGUUUCAGGGACCAACUAAGGAUCGGGCUUUAGACUCGUAGGGCCGAGGAGCGAAACCCCCAAACGUCGCCCUCGGGGUCCGAUCUCGGAGACCCGAAGACGGACUCCGGCGACAACGCAAGCGAAGUGACUCAGGCCAUUUGAAGGCGGUGGAGCAGGUGGGUAGAGACGUGAUGUGCGGCGGCCAGCAGAGUGGCGGUGGCAGGGCAAGUGGCCGACCCUAGGUGCGGCGCACCUAGGGUUAGGUUCACUAUUUUUGGCUUAUGAAAAUGUUAGGGUUUAAGGAGUUGGGCUUAUUUGGGCUAGUGGGUUAGGUCUAGGGUCUGUUUAGGUGUAUUGGGCUCCAAGUUUUGGGCCGGUGUUUAGGGGGUUGGGUUUGGGUUAUUUUAAGUUGGUUUGUUUAAGAUGGGUUUGUAAUGGGCCGGGCAAAAUGGGCUUGUACAAUGUGAAUAUAGUAUAAAGUUUGAAGCUUAUGGUAAAA